AACCCCUGUGGUAGUUGCCAGCAAGUAGCGUUGGGCACUCUAGCCAGACUGCCGGUGAUAAAUCGGAGGAAGGUGGGGACGACGUCAAAUCCAUCAUGCCCUUUAUGUCCUGGGCUACACACGUACUACAAUGGCCGUUACAACGGGAAGCGAAGGAGCAAUCCGGAGCAAAUCCCUUAAAGGCGGUCCCAGUUCAGAUUGUGGGCUGAAACUCGCCCACAUGAAGGCGGAAUUGCUAGUAAUUGCAGAUCAGCAUGCUGCAGUGAAUACGUUCCCGGGCCUU
rnacentral:rRNA from 1 species